AUUGAACGCUGGCGGCAGGCCUAACACAUGCAAGUCGAGCGGAGCGGCGGACGGGUGAGGAAUGCCUAGGAAUCUGCCUGGGAGUGGGGGAGAACGUCCGGUAAUGGGCGCUAAUACCGCAUACUAUCAGAUGAGCCUAGGUCGGAUUAGCUUGUUGGUGGGGUAAAGGCCUACCAAGGCGACGAUCCGUAACUGGUCUGAGAGGAUGAUCAGUCACACUGGAACUGAGACACGGUCCAGACUCCUACGGGAGGCAGCAGUGGGGAAUAUUGGACAAUGGGCGAAAGCCUGAUCCAGCCAUGCCGCGUGUGUGAAGAAGGUCUUCGGAUUGUAAAGCACUUUAAGUUGGGAGGCGUUACCAACAGAAUAAGCACCGGCUAACUUCGUGCCAGCAGCCGCGGUAAUAC
rnacentral:rRNA from 1 species